GACGAACGCUGGCGGCGUGCUUAACACAUGCAAGUCGAGCGGUAAGGCCCUUUCGGGGGUACACGAGCGGCGAACGGGUGAGUAACACGUGGGUGACCUGCCCUCAGCUCUGGGAUAAGCCUGGGAAACCGGGUCUAAUACUGGAUAUGACUCCAUGACGCAUGUUGUGGGGUGGAAAGCCUUGUGCGGCUGAGGAUGGGCCCGCGGCCUAUUAGCUUGUUGGUGGGGUGAUGGCCUACCAAGGCGACGACGGGUAGCCGGCCUGAGAGGGCGACCGGCCACACUGGGACUGAGACACGGCCCAGACUCCUACGGGAGGCAGCAGUGGGGAAUCUUGCGCAAUGGGCGAAAGCCUGACGCAGCGACGCCGCGUGAGGGAUGACGGCCUGGUGU
rnacentral:rRNA from 1 species